rnacentral:lncRNA from 1 species
CAUAAGUCCUAACUCAACUGAUAAAAUGUCGAAAUUGUUAGGCCGGAUAUCAUGACCGGAGUUCGAACCUCGGUACCUCCACUUGUGUGUGAGUUUAUAAUGACUUUGCUAUUUCGUCUAUAAAAAAAAAAAACUCCACAAAUAUAAUUAAUAGAUAAAUUACCAUUAAGCUUGUGGUGAGUAAUUAGGUAUAUAAUUGUGUGUAUGAAAUAAAAGACUAUAACAGGAAAAACAACUCUUCAAAUAAAACUCAAAACAAGAUUUUAAGGUUGGUCAUAGAAAGUGUAGAGUUAUAUUGUCGUUUAAGAUUGUUAUUACACUUAUGUUUGAUUUCAUUGGGUAAGGUUUUCAUUUCCCCAAUCGUUUGUAAUUUUCUUUUUAUUUAAUGUAUUUUCUUAUCUCAAAUAUAAUGUAUACUAUACUUAAAAAAAAAAAUCGUUAUAAUUUAAUUGAUCUGAUUUCUUUUUGUAAAUAAAAGCCCCUAAGCCUAAAAAAGAGAAGUUACAAAGAAAAUAUUUGCCUAAAAUCAUGAACAAAACCUAGUGCCUCAUGAAAAGGAUUAUCAAUGACUUCCCAUAUUUGUAGGGAUAUCGGCACACUAUUCAGCCUCUUGAUAAACAUGAACGACUGUGACUUCACAAUUUUACUUUAAUGAAUUUGAUAGAAUCAUAA